GUCGAGCGGACAGAAGGGAGCUUGCUCCCGGAUGUUAGCGGCGGACGGGUGAGAAACACGUGGGUAACCUGCCUGUAAGACUGGGAUAACUCCGGGAAACCGGAGCUAAUACCGGAUAGUUCCUUGAACCGCAGGGUUCAAGGAUGAAAGACGGUUUCGGCUGUCACUUACAGAUGGACCCGCGGCGCAUAGCUAGUUGGUGAGGUAACGGCUCACCAAGGCGACGAUGCGUAGCCGACCUGAGAGGGUGAUCGGCCACACUGGGACUGAGACACGGCCCAGACUCCUACGGGAGGCAGCAGUAGGGAAUCUUCCGCAAUGGACGAAAGUCUGACGGAGCAACGCCGCGUGAGUGAUGAAGGUUUUCGGAUCGUAAAGCUCUGUUGUUAGGGAAGAACAAGUGCAAGAGUAACUGCUUGCACCUUGACGGUACCUAACCAGAAAGCCACGGCUAACUACGUGCCAGCAGCCGCGGUAAUACGUAGGUGGCAAGCGUUGUCCGGAAUUAUUGGGCGUAAAGGGCUCGCAGGCGGUUUCUUAAGUCUGAUGUGAAAGCCCCCGGCUCAACCGGGGAGGGUCAUUGGAAACUGGGAAACUUGAGUGCAGAAGAGGAGAGUGGAAUUCCACGUGUAGCGGUGAAAUGCGUAGAGAUGUGGAGGAACACCAGUGGCGAAGGCGACUCUCUGGUCUGUAACUGACGCUGAGGAGCGAAAGCGUGGGGAGCGAACAGGAUUAGAUACCCUGGUAGUCCACGCCGUAACGAUGAGUGCUAAGUGUUAGGGGGUUUCCGCCCCUUAGUGCUGCAGCUAACGCAUUAAGCACUCCGCCUGGGGAGUACGGUCGCAAGACUGAAACUCAA
rnacentral:rRNA from 1 species